AUUGAACGCUGGCGGCAGGCUUAACACAUGCAAGUCGAGCGGAGCGAGGGUGCUUGCACCUUAGCUUAGCGGCGGACGGGUGAGUAAUGCUUAGGAAUCUGCCUAUUAGUGGGGGACAACAUUCCGAAAGGAAUGCUAACACCGCAUACGUCCUACGGGGGAAAGCAGGGGAUCUUCGGACCUUGCGCUAAUAGAUGAGCCUAAGUCGGAUUAGCUAGUUGGUGGGGUAAAGGCCUACCAAGGCGACGAUCUGUAGCGGGUAUGAGAGGAUGAUCCGCCACACUGGGACUGAGCAACGGCCCAGACUCCUACGGGAAGCAGCGGUGGGGAAUAUUGGACAAUGGGCGGAAGCCUGAUCCAGCCAGGCCGCGUGUGUGAAGAAGGCCUUUUGGUUGUAAAGCACUUUAAGCGAGGAGGAGGCUACUAGUAUUAAUACUACUGGAUAGUGGACGUUACUCGCAGAAUAAGCACCGGCUAACUCUGUGCCAGCCGCCGCCGUAAGAC
rnacentral:rRNA from 1 species